UUUAAAGUAACUCUUUGAAAAGUCAACAAGAUUAUUUGAUCAAUUAAUUACAAGAGGUCUCAUAUUUGAAAUAGCUGUGCUGUAGUUACCUAUAUUUUCAGGAAGUUUAUUGUAGGGUGGACCACAUGGACAGCUCCUUAGUGGUCAAUGAAAAUAAGGUCAUUUUCUUCAGCGUCACUAAUGAUCUGUCACAACAUCAGACGUGAGUCUCCAUAUCCUCCUCCUCUGUAGGUUUUCUGUGUCCUACCAAACACACAUCAGUUUUCUCACAUGACAAUCUAUGUGUGGAGUUCACUUCACUGACGGAAGAAAGUGGAAAAUAUGUCUUUGUCUUAUAUUCUUCUCAUUUAUGUUGCCGGUGUUGCGGUAAAAGAAAGUUGUGCAGAUUCGGUUCCCACUCCCACUAUUGUAUUUUCCCCUGAGUACAUCAAAGUAGCUACAACAGUUACAGUACGCUGUGAGUCACCAGAAGGCACAGAGUGCAUUUUCUACAGAGAUCACCACCCCAAACCUAUAAGAACAGUGGAUUACAAGCAGGGUGCUUGCCAGUUCAAGUUGUUGUGGAAUGAGUUCAAAAAGUGGAACAAGACUGAAGUAGAUCUCAGCUGUGUAAUUCUACAGAACAGAGAAGAUAAAUCGAUUAAAACCUUAAAACCUAGUGAUGCUCGAAGACUUAAAGUGAGUGAUCCAAUUGGAAAGCCCAGUGUUCAUGUGGAGAAGACUGGGAAUUACCUCAAUCUUCGAUGUGAGGCCAAGGCUGGCACCUCAUGCUACUUUUAUCUGAACAAUGGUGACUCACACUUCAAAAAACUACCCUACAAAGACAAUGUCUGUGUGGGGAGAGUGGCAGAAGAGGAACUGCAGAGGAAGAGGAGCAGUGUUGGAGAGAUCUUCAUCACCUGUGCUGUGGAGCUGGUGGUAGAAGGUGAAGAUACUGUGACAUCACAGCAUAGUGAACCCCUCGGUAUCACCAUAGAUGGAGCUACUAGUUCCCCAUCAGUGUUCAGUUUAAUCAUAACUGGUCAGGAGGAGACAAGCAGCAAUGUCACAGCCCAAGGAAGAGAAUCCGUCUCAGUGAUCCCCUUCUACCAGUACACCAGUCUUCGUGCUGUUGUCUAUGUUAUCAUUCUGCUGAUGGAAUCUGUUCUGUGUCUUCUCUGGUAUAGACGUGGUGCAUGCCUUCUCAUACUCACACAAAUUGUAACGGAUGUAGGAACUUCAUUUGAUUACUCUUUUAUUUCUGAGAAUUUUCCUGCACAGCAGGAAAUGCAAACUUGCAGUGCAUUUGAGCAUUAAAAAUGCUUCUAACGUUUGUAAUUUCCGCGUUGAAUUUUUCAAACUUGAUUUUCCUAAAAGAAAUGUAUCAACCCCAACAAAAAUAUCCAUUAAUUAUCAUCCACAUAAUAAUUCACAUUUCCUGUUCCUGCAGGAUUAUUUUCCUGCUGUAGCAAACUGGCUCAAAUUAAGAUCCUACAUCUUUUUGUUGUUCCGAAGGCUUUUGUCAUGUCUUUUAUUAGCUAUACAACCUGGCGGUAUGAUUUGUUUUCAUCAUACUUUUAUCUCUGAAGUUGAUCCACAAGGCAAUGUCAAACGGAGGUAACAGUGGUCUAUUUAUUCAUAAAUAUUUACUCAUGCAUUUUUUUUCGAUUAUCUGGUUGAUGUACUGGUGAAUUGUCGUGUCUUGACCAAAACCCAUCUAAGAUGCAAUAUGUGUGUGUAGAACAAUGCUCUUUACUCCCCAUUGCUUGUUAAUGUAUUUUAUAUUAUGCGAAGUGUUUCAUGUGUAAUGAGUUUAUAUGUCUAAAAUACAGCUAUUUUAUUAGCAUUUCAUUUUUUUCUGCUCAUGGAUGUUGUGUUUUCCAGUGGAAAUAAAGCUUGUACAUUAUAUUGUAAAUCUUGUUGGAAAUGUUUAAUUUAUUUGGAAAUUGAGGAGCCACUCUGAGAGGAGACAGCAUUGUGUUUAGAUUACACAGCAGUUGAGUUUCAAAGGUCUUCAACGAUGUUCAACGGUCCAAUGACUCAUGAUGUUCACUGUUGUACCUGAGAUUUAGCAGAGUGUGUCGAGUCUGUUUGUCACGUAGAUGUGACCACAGUGAGGGUACUAAUAUUGCAGGUACACUUCUAUUUCUAGAGAUGAGAAGAAGACACCAACAUCACCCCUGCAAACAACACCGCAUACGGCUUGCAAUACAUAUCUUCAUACUGUAUGAAGCUCAUGUCUAUUUCCAUCAAUAGAAAUGACUUGUCAGAGAACAUGAAGCGGUGUGGAAAGACACAGUAAUGGAAUUGUGGUGAUGAUCUAGGCUGAGAUGUGCUAUAAUGAGCCAUUGUGCUGCAACUGGUCCCCUAACACUCUGUCCCUAGCCCUCAAAACCAGAUGGAUGAGAAAAACAUCUAUCAUUCAACAAUUUAAAUAAAUAAAAUGCCAGUUGUAUAAUUUCCAGAUAUAUUGCAAGAUUCACAUUAAAAAAAUGUCCAACCUUUAAAAAGAAACUGGUGCGUCCUACAAGGAGUUGAUGUCAAUGUUAUCCAGCACUAUCCAGUACUCUUACAGAAAUCUUAAUUAUUUGAGAAACAAUCCAUAACCUUUCCACCUGUGGUUUACCAAAACAUGUGAAACAAUUUAUUGGUGGUGAUGAAGUAAAAAACAACUAAAAUAUAUUUGGAU
rnacentral:lncRNA from 8 species